rnacentral:rRNA from 1 species
GUAGGGUGCGAGCGUUAUCCGGAAUUAUUGGGCGUAAAGGGCGUGUAGGUGGUAAUUUAGGUUUGGUGUGAAAGCUCUCGGCUCAACCGAGAAAGUGCAUCAAAUACCGGAUUACUAGAGUGAGAGAGGGGGCUGUGGAAUUUUCGGUGUAGCGGUGAAAUGUGUAGAUAUCGAAAGGAACAUCAGUGGCGAAGGCGACAGCCUGGCUCUAAACUGACACUGAGGCGCGAAGGCGUGGGGAGCAAACAGGAUUAGAUACCCUGGUAGUCCACGCAGUAAACGAUGUAAACUGGCUGUACGUGAAAAUUUCAUGUGUAGCGAAGCUAACGCGUUAAGUUUACCGCCUGGGAAGUACGGUCGCAAGACUAAAACUCAAAGAAAUUGACGGGGGCCCGCACAAGCGGUGGAGCAUGUGGUUUAAUUCGAUGCAACUCGAAAAACCUUACCUACUCUUGACAUCCUUAGAAUCUAACCGAGAGGUUAGAGUGCCGAAAGGAACUAAGAGACAGGUGC